rnacentral:rRNA from 1 species
UACGUAGGAGGCGAGCGUUGUCCGGAAUUACUGGGCGUAAAGAGCGCGUAGGCGGCUUUGUAAGUUAGAGGUGAAAGCCCGGGGCUCAACUCCGGAAUUGCCUUUAAGACUGCAUCGCUAGAAUUGUGGAGAGGUAAGUGGAAUUCCGAGUGUAGAGGUGAAAUUCGUAGAUAUUCGGAAGAACACCAGUGGCGAAGGCGACUUACUGGACACAUAUUGACGCUGAGGUGCGAAAGCGUGGGGAGCAAACAGG